CUGCUUACCUGGCAGAGGACAGACCAUGAUCACAAAGGCGGUUUUCCCAGGGUGAGGCUUCUCCAUUGUACUCUGGAUGUGCUGAUCCCUGCAAUUUCCCCAAAUGUGGGGAACUUGACUGCGUAAUUUGUGGUCAUGGGGAACUGCAUUUGCACUCUCCCCUG
rfam:Macaca mulatta chromosome 2, whole genome shotgun sequence.